GUGGAUUCAACUGUUUACUGCUAGCCUUGAAACAGUGUGAUAAACCAAGAGCGACGAAAUAUCAAACAAGUAGCCAUGUCAGUGAAACUAAGCGAGACAUCCAGGCAGACCUAAACAGUGAAACAAGUAUUUAGAGGUCUUUUGUUCCUGUAGGAGGCACCGGAAUACUAACAGCAUCUGACAGCCUGGCAGAUACGGACCCGAGUUGAGAUUAAUUUUCACUUAUGAUAUUCAAGAGAAUACAUAGAGUGCUUCAGCGACGUGAACCUCAUAGUAAAAUCUACAUUGAACACCAGGUGCUACUCAAUAUGCACUGUUUUAAAAGCAGGUCACUGAUAAAUCGCACGUCUCUACAGAGUAGCGUGUAUGAACUUGAGGGUGGAUGCCUCCAAUCGCAGCCAGGUCUGCCAUUAAUGGAUGUUGGGUGCCAUUUUGCCACAGAAGUGUCCCACGUUGCCAACCACAGCCUCAGCUACAGCCAAGAGAGCUCUGCACCUAAAGCUGCCAUAAAGUCAGUGUCUUUAUGGCAGCUAGACACCAGAUCCCUGGCUGGGUAACCUAGCCUGGCUGUUCUCCCAUGAGGCCUGCCUGAAUUAAUCAUGGCUGAGCAGCCAAGCAGCCACUGGGCCGUAACACAAAGCACAAACAGGCUUCUAUGGUCUCCAUGGAGAACGUCAUGGGGAGGAUGGCAGGGCAAACUGGUGCACCAGAACCAGAAUUCGUAUCUAUUGCCGGAGCUCCGCUUGUACUCAAGGUUACCUGAUAGCCAGAGCAAUGAAGGAUUAGGACUUCUGGAAAGCUGUGAUUACAAAUGCAAUGUCAAAUAUGACAUUAGAAUCCACAGGGAAAAACAUGUCUUUCAUAUAACCAAAUCCUAGUUAAAACAAAAAGUGUCAACAGUAUUUAUGGGCAUAAUGCAUAAUAGGGCCUUUGAAGGAAAAUAAUUCUCAAUACUUCCAAAUAAUCAAUACACAAUACGCACACAGAAACUGAUAUGCACUAUUCUGAUACCUUACAUAUUUUAUGUAUUUUAUGUAUUUAAAGAAUGAUUUUAUGGAGUUUAUGGGCUCUACGGUUUUUAUAUCAUUUCUGUCUAUUGUAUGUCUGUUAUUGGUGAGCCAAAGACAAUUUUCCACCAUGGUGGACAAUAAAGUUUUAUUCUACUCUUUUCUAUUCUAAAUAAGUUGUUGUUAAUAUACACUUCCAUCCAAACUGAGUGGAAAUACCAGAAACAAAAAAUAAAAGACAAUCAUGUAAUGUUAGUUUUCAUCUUCUCUGAAAUAAAUUUGUGUAAAUGUAGUUUAUGGAAGCAUGCACUGAUCCACGUUUUCUUUGUCAAACUCUCUAAAAUGUACUUAAAAGUAGAGCCCGACAGAUAGAUCAGUCACCUGAGAUUAUCCAUAUAUAGAUUUUGGCCUACAUCGGUAUUGGCGUACAUGUCCAAUAUGUACCAAUAUUAAUUUCUUUUUAAAUUAUAUACGCAUUUUAUGUAUAUUUGAUCCUUUUUCUUAAUUCAAGUUUAAUAAUACGUACAUAUGUUAGUUUGUUGUUCUAUGUGUUUGGUUGUUUGUUUUUAUUUAUAGUUAUUUGUAAUUAUUAAAUUCCCAGUG